rnacentral:rRNA from 1 species
GUAGGUGGCAAGCGUUGUCCGGAAUUAUUGGGCGUAAAGCGCGCGCAGGCGGUUUCUUAAGUCUGAUGUGAAAGCCCACGGCUCAACCGUGGAGGGUCAUUGGAAACUGGGGAACUUGAGUGCAGAAGAGGAAAGUGGAAUUCCACGUGUAGCGGUGAAAUGCGUAGAGAUGUGGAGGAACACCAGUGGCGAAGGCGACUUUCUGGUCUGUAACUGACGCUGAGGCGCGAAAGCGUGGGGAGCAAACAGGAUUAGAUACCCUGGUAGUCCACGCCGUAAACGAUGAGUGCUAAGUGUUAGAGGGUUUCCGCCCUUUAGUGCUGCAGCUAACGCGUUAAGCACUCCGCCUGGGAGUACGGUCGCAAGACUG